rnacentral:lncRNA from 1 species
UGUAACAUGACUUGUGCUUCAGUGUUCUUUUGUGAUCAAAAAUUCCUUACUUUUACUUUUUUUAUCUAUGGUAGGACCACGCAGAGCAGGGGUCCUCAACUCCCAGGCCACAGACUCAUACCAGUCCAUGGACUAUUAUGAACCACACCACACAGGAGGAGGUGAGCAGCAGGCAAGCCAGGGAAGCUUUACCUGUACUUACAGCCACACACCAUGGCUCAUAUUACCGCCUGAACUCUGCCUCCAGGCAGAUCAGUGAUAGCAUUAGAUACUCAUUGGAGCAUGAAACCUGUUGUGAACUGCCCAUCUGAAGGAUCUAGGUUGUGUGCUUCACAUGAGAAUCUAAUGCCUGAUGAUCUGUCACUGUCUCCCUUUGCCCCCACAAGGGACCAUCUAGUUGCAGGGAAACAAGCUCAGAGCUUCCACUGAUUCCACAUUAUGGAUAUGUGCCGCCGAAGCAAGCACAAAGCCCUACUUUUACACAUGAUUAGUGAUGCGUCAUGGACAAGGCUUGGCUCUGUUGAGUCCAACUAACCUACUUGAGAUUCUGAGAUUUCUCUUCAAUGGCUUCCUGUGAGCUAGAGUUUGAAAAUAUUUUAAAAUCUUGAGCUAGAGAUGGAAGUAGCUUCAACGAUUUUCAUUAUCAUGUAAAUCAGAUCACUCAAGGGGCCAACCACAGCUGGGAGCCACUGCUCAGGGCAAGGUUCAUAUGGGACUUUCUACUGCCCAAGGUUCUAUACAGGAUAUAAAGGUGCCUCACAGUACAGAUCUGGUAGCAAAAAGGAAACAAACACUGAUCUCUUUCUGCCACAUUAUUUGAACCCCUCUCACCCUUUAGAACAAGCCCAACUAAUAUCUGCCAGAGAAAAGACCAACAACAGCCUCAAAGGAUCUCUUACCAUGAAGGUCUCAGCUAAUUCCUAGCUAAGAUGUGGGUUCCACAUUAGGUUCUGAAUAUGUGGGGAAGGGUCAAUUUGCUCACUUUGUGUGCGGAUAAAGUCAGGAUGCCCAGCGGCCAGAGCAGGGGGCUGGUCCUCUGGGAACAAUGGCUGAGCAUAUAAGCAUAGGUAUGGGAACUAAAAAACAUGAAAGUCACUGUAUGAAUCACCAUGAAGACUUGAGGGAUCUGAAUCUACUGAUUCAUCUUAAGACAGCAGGACCAGUUUGAGUGGCAACAAUGCAGCAACAGAAUCAAUGGAAACAACAGAAUGAUUGCAAUGUCCUUUUUUUUCCUCCUCCUUCUGACUUGAUAAAAGGGACUGUCUUCCUUGGAUUUAGUAAACCCCUUCGGUUCUUGAAAAAUUCAAGGAGUAUGUAGGACAUAGUCCCCAGAAAACAGUACAAGACUUUCUGCUAAACUGGACAUUUCAAGACCCAAAUAACUAAUCAGAAAAAUUAAAGAUGUGACACUCUUUUUUAUCCCUGCAUAGGUGUUACACUUGGAUCAAAUGAACAAUGCUGGGAUCUCUAAGGAUAAAGAUCUUAAAAGUCCUGAGAUAAAGAAUCCUGCACCCAUUGGCACUUCUAACUUGUCUUGCUUUUUGUCUGAUUUCUGGCUGAUGCAAGGGACUAACUCACUGACACGCGAAAACUACCUGAACCAAACUAUGACAUCUCACCUGAUAUGUAAGAUGCAACUGUUAUAAUUAUUUUAAACCUCAAUUUAGCAUUAACUAGCCUUUUAAUGUAAACACUUACACAUGAUGAUGACUAGAAACAGCAUACUCUCUGGCCGUCUGUCCAGAUCUUGAGAAGAUACAUCAAUAUUUUGCUCAAGUAGAGGGCUGACUAUAUUUGCUGAUCCACAACAUACAGCAAGUAUGAGAGCAGUUCUAAAAUGACAGAGAUAGGAACUGUAAUAAAGUUAUUUUUAAAGCUAAUCUGAUAUACUUUACCAAUGUAAG